GUACACAAAAAUGCACAUGCUGUGAGCUCGAUGAGUAGGGCGGGACACGUGGUAUCCUGUCUGAAUAUGGGGGGACCAUCCUCCAAGGCUAAAUACUCCUGACUGACCGAUAGUGAACCAGUACCGUGAGGGAAAGGCGAAAAGAACCCCGGCGAGGGGAGUGAAAAAGAACCUGAAACCGUGUACGUACAAGCAGUGGGAGCCUCUUAAUGGGGUGACUGCGUACCUUUUGUAUAAUGGGUCAGCGACUUAUAUUCUGUAGCAAGGUUAACCGAAUAGGGGAGCCGAAGGGAAACCGAGUCUUAACUGGGCGUUAAGUUGCAGGGUAUAGACCCGAAACCCGGUGAUCUAGCCAUGGGCAGGUUGAAGGUUGGGUAACACUAACUGGAGGACCGAACCGACUAAUGUUGAAAAAUUAGCGGAUGACUUGUGGCUGGGGGUGAAAGGCCAAUCAAACCGGGAGAUAGCUGGUUCUCCCCGAAAGCUAUUUAGGUAGCGCCUCGUGAAUUCAUCUCCGGGGGUAGAGCACUGUUUCGGCAAGGGGGUCAUCCCGACUUACCAACCCGAUGCAAACUGCGAAUACCGGAGAAUGUUAUCACGGGAGACACACGGCGGGUGCUAACGUCCGUCGUGAAGAGGGAAACAACCCAGACCGCCAGCUAAGGUCCCAAAGUCAUGGUUAAGUGGGAAACGAUGUGGGAAGGCCCAGACAGCCAGGAUGUUGGCUUAGAAGCAGCCAUCAUUUAAAGAAAGCGUAAUAGCUCACUGGUCGAGUCGGCCUGCGCGGAAGAUGUAACGGGGCUAAACCAUG
rnacentral:rRNA from 1 species